rnacentral:tRNA from 1 species
GGAGAGAUCGCAUAGCGGUCUAGUGCGCACGCUUGGAAAGCGUGUGUGCCGAAAGGCACCGAGGGUUCAAAUCCCUCUCUCUCCG